ACGAGGACUGUAACAGAGCGAAUCAUUACUGUUAACCAGACAAGGACUACUGAAAUACGUUUAUUUAAAAGUUUUAUGUAAUCUGCAAAUGGGGACCGAAAUCCCAUGAAAAAUAUUAAGACGUCCAUCAAAGAGGACCAAUAGUAGUUCAGCCUGAAUGGAAAACCCAAACAGGGGCAGGAGAUGGAGAGGUAGAGGAGCCAACCAUGUCGAUCACAGAAUAGGUGCUGAGGCUGGUCAGAGAGAAGAGGAAGGGAUAGCCAACC